CCCUUAGAUGUUCUGGGCCGCACACGCGCUACACUGAAGGAGGCAGCGUGUACUCCUGGAUCGAAAGAUUUGGGUAACCCGCGAAUCUCCUUCGUGCUGGGGAUUGAGGUUUGCAAUUAUCCUUCAUGAACGAGGAAUUCCCAGUAAGUGCAAGUCAUAAGCUUGCGCUGACUACGUCCCUGCCCUUUGUACACACCGCCCGUCGCUACUACCGAUUGAAUGAUUUAGUGAGGACUUCGGACUGGGACCGAUGCGGCUUUCGGGCUGCGUCGGUAUUCUGGAAAGAUGUCCAAACUGUAUCAUUUAGAGGAAGUAAAAGUCGUAACA
rnacentral:rRNA from 1 species